UGGGGAAUAUUGCACAAUGGGCGAAAGCCUGAUGCAGCAACGCCGCGUGAGUGAUGAAGGUCUUCGGAUUGUAAAGCUCUGUCUUUUGGGACGAUAAUGACGGUACCAAAGGAGGAAGCCACGGCUAACUACGUGCCAGCAGCCGCGGUAAUACGUAGGUGGCGAGCGUUGUCCGGAUUUACUGGGCGUAAAGGGUGCGUAGGCGGAUGUUUAAGUGAGAUGUGAAAUACCCGGGCUUAACUUGGGUGCUGCAUUUCAAACUGGAUAUCUAGAGUGCAGGAGAGGAGAAUGGAAUUCCUAGUGUAGCGGUGAAAUGCGUAGAGAUUAGGAAGAACACCAGUGGCGAAGGCGAUUCUCUGGACUGUAACUGACGCUGAGGCACGAAAGCGUGGGUAGCAAACAGGAUUAGAUACCCUGGUAGUCCACGCCGUAAACGAUGAGUACUAGGUGUAGGAGGUAUCGACCCCUUCUGUGCCGCAGUAACCACAUUAAGUACUCCGCCUGGGAAGUACGAUCGCAAGAUU
rnacentral:rRNA from 1 species